AACUGAGGAAAGACUAAAUUCUCCUUUAUCCAGCCAAGUCUCCUUUAAGAGUGACCAGUCUAAGCUACUCUCAGUCAACUUUGAAGAUGAAACAGGCUCUCAAGAAAGACAGCAGAUGCUUCACUUCUGUCACCAUUUCGUUCGCAAUCUGUGCCUUUAAAACCUCAUCAGAUAAGGAUACAGGUAUCAGUCACUGAAGAAUCAUCUUCAUCAUCCAUACUACCUGCUUCCAUCCUCUCCAGUCUCAGCACAGUUGAUGCUACCCGCUUUUGCGUGUUUUACCGUCUACUUCAAUUUGUCAGUCAGGUCUUAUUUAAGUGAUUUCUUGAUUUUGAACAGGUGUGGCAGUAAUCAGGCCUGGGUGUGGCUAGAGAAAUUGUACACAGGUGUGAUAAACCACAGUUAUGUUU